UAAUUGCACCAUAAAUAGGAUAAAUCAAAAAUUAUUUUAUCUAGGUUGCACCAUAAAUUGGAAAAUAUGAUCAAGAAAUGCGUUUAUGGCGCAAUCGAUUGCACCAAAUUUUCGUAUUAUGACAGGCACGUGACCGAUGACUUAUUUUGUAGUUGUUGACAAGAUGGACGAUUUUGUUGUUGAAUCUUGAUAUCAUCUCAUGCAAGUUGUCUUUGAAAUUGUCAAUUUCUUUUGAAGCACAAAGGUACCAACAACUUCGAUGAUUUUAAUUGAGAAAGAGAUACAGGAAAAAUUAUUGUUAUACCCAGUGCCGAACCUAUUGAUAAAAAUAUUUAUUCCGCCAAAAUCACCAGAAUUCCAGAAGGUUAUAAACAGUUUUUUCACACUUGAAAAGUGCUAGUUUCAAGAACAGCUUACAAACAAGGAAUGUGUAUAGUUUCAAGUUUUGAGAAUGAAGAACCUGUGUUUGGAAAAUUAUUCUUUUGUAAAUAGGCUCCAAAAUUUUAUUUGUGUGUAAUCUUUUUAAAUCUUGUAGUGUUUAUUGCAAUCAACUAAAAAAUGUGAUAUAGUUAAAGUAAUAGCACCAGAAAAUCUAUAAUAAUGAAUAUGUAAUAAAAAUAUUGUUUUUUCU